GACGAACGCUGGCGGCGUGCUUAACACAUGCAAGUCGAACGGAAAGGCCCUGCUCUUGUGGGGCUCUUGAUUGCCGAGCGCGUGAGUAACACGCGUGUAACCCGCCCCUGUCUUUGGGAUAUCUUCAGGAAACUCGGGAUCAUACCGGAUAUAAGCUCCUGCUGCAUGGUGUGGGUUGGAAAGUUUCGGCGGUUGGGGAUGGACUCGCGGGGUACCAGCUUGUUGGUGGGGUAGUGGCUUGCCAAGGCUUCGACGGGUACCCGGCCUGAGCGGGUGACCGGCGACAUUGGGACUGAGAUGAGGCACAGACUCCUACGGGAGGCAGCAGUGGGAAAUAUUGAACGAUGGGCGGAAGCCUGAUGAAGAAACGCCGCGUGCGGGAUGACGGCCUUCGGGGUGUAGACCGCUUUCGCCUGUGACGAAGCGUGAGUGAAGGUAAUGGGUAAAGAAGGACAGGCUAAAUAAGGG
rnacentral:rRNA from 1 species